UCUUGUUGGUCGAAUCUUGGUUGGACACAACAUUGGAUCCAAUAAGCGGCACUAAGCAAUGAAAGAGGAGCACAUACUUAUUCGGAGAAGAUUUCUAAGGACUAUCAUGAAUAGAAGGAGUACAUGGAGCCACAUCCUAUCGUGUCCACCCGCAAUGUGCCAUCUCUCCAGCAUCGAUGUUGAAUUCGGACAAUUUGUAUCGGAUGAUCGACGUGCAUGGAUUGCAUGGAUUUGAGAAUUUCAUUUUGAGGUAUGUGGAUGUGCGGUGCAAAAUAUGAGGGGCCGACAGACGUGCACAGAAGCGCCCGCGAACGUAUAAAGGAUCGAAUUUCCCAAGUCCGGCUGUAGAUGCUCUUAUGUUUGAGACGGCAGGCUUGCCAUGUCACCGAAUUGAUCUUUGGGACGACCUCCUUUGCAGGAUCCUCCACCACCGCCGUCUCCAACGGCUUUACGUAC
rnacentral:lncRNA from 1 species